CUUACUCAUGGCUUGGCUGCGGUGUUUUUGUCUCGCUGUCAGUGAGAGCUGCUGGCCUUUGAUAUCAGGAGGGACUGCGAGGUGGGAGUAGGAGAAACAGAGUCGCAGAAAUAGAAGAAGCCUGGAGAGGAGAGACAGGGGGAGGAGAGACCUUCCCGGCAGUGCUGUGAGGUGAACCGUGGGGUGAACGCGAGACUGCAGCCACGGGUGAAUCAUGGCUCAGGUGCUGCAUAUGGACCCCAGCUUCCCAGGUAAACAGACUCAA